rnacentral:piRNA from 2 species
UACAGAUCGAUAUCUAGAGACCGAA